rnacentral:rRNA from 1 species
ACGCUCGACACCUACGGGAGGCAGCAGUAGGGAAUCUUCCACAAUGGACGCAAGUCUGAUGGAGCAACGCCGCGUGAGUGAAGAAGGUUUUCGGAUCGUAAAGCUCUGUUGUUGGUGAAGAAGGAUAGAGGUAGUAACUGGCCUUUAUUUGACGGUAAUCAACCAGAAAGUCACGGCUAACUACGUGCUAGCAGCCGCGGUAAUCUGAGCGGGCUGGCAAGGC